rnacentral:rRNA from 1 species
AGAGUUUGAUCCUGGCUCAGAACGAACGCUGGCGGCGUGGCUAAGGCAUGCAAGUCUAACGGACCCCCCAAGGAGUAAUCUGAGGGGGAGUUAGUGGCGAACGGGUGAGGAAUACAUGGAUAACGUGCCCCGGGCACGGGAAUAGCGGCUCCUCCGCAUGGCGGAUUAAUCGAAGGUGCCGGUAAUACCCGAUGACCCAGUUGCGCCGCAUGGUGCGGCGGGCAAAGCUCCGGUGGCCUGGGAGCGGUCCAUGUCCAAUCAGAUUGUUGGUGAGGUAACGGCUCACAAAGGCUUCGACGGGUAUCAGGUGUGAGAGCAUGACCCGACACAUCGAGGCACUGACUACACUGCCCGGACACCUGCGGGUGGUUGCAACAGCAAAUAUUCCGCAAUGGGCGCAAGCUUGACCGAGCUACCCCCCUUGCAGGACUAAUUCCCUCUGGAUGUAAACUGCUGUGUGGGGCUAGAAAGAAGUGAUCAACCCCUCAGGAAGCGUCCGCUAACUCCAUGCCAGCAGCAGCGGUAAUAAGGAGGAGGCUAGCGUUGUUCUGAUUCACUGGGCUUAAAUGGCGUGUAAGCGGAGUGUCGCGCGCCUUGUCAUACCCCCCAGCUCAACCAGCGAAUUGCUUGGCAAACUCUCACUCUUGAGGCAUGUAG